GUCGACACAUGAGAUAUUACUUAU
rnacentral:sRNA from 1 species